GAUGAACGCUGGCGGCGUGCCUAAUACAUGCAAGUCGAGCGAACAGACGAGGAGCUUGCUCCUUUGACGUUAGCGGCGGACGGGUGAGUAACACGUGGGUAACCUACCUAUAAGACUGGGAUAACUUCGGGAAACCGGAGCUAAUACCGGAUAAUAUUUCGAACCGCAUGGUUCGAUAGUGAAAGAUGGCUCUGCUAUCACUUAUAGAUGGACCUGCGCCGUAUUAGCUAGUUGGUAAGGUAACGGCUUACCAAGGCAACGAUACGUAGCCGACCUGAGAGGGUGAUCGGCCACACUGCAACUGAGACACGGUCCAGACUCCUACGGGAGGCAGCAGUAGGGAAUCUUCCGCAAAGGGCGAAAGCCUGACGGAGCAACGCCGCGUGAGUGAUGAAGGUCUUCGGAUCGUAAAACUCUGUUAUUAGGGAAGAACAAACGUGUAAGUAACUGUGCACGUCUUGACGGUACCUAAUCAGAAAGCCACGGCUAACUACGUG
rnacentral:rRNA from 1 species